rnacentral:rRNA from 1 species
AUGGGAACGCGAAGAACCUUACCUAGACUUGACAUCUCCUGAAUAGUGUAGAGAUACAUGAAGCCCUUCGGGGCAGGAAGACAGGUGGUGCAUGGUUGUCGUCAGCUCGUGUCGUGAGAUGUUGGGUUAAAGUCCCGCAACGAGCGCAAACCCUUAUUACUAGUUGCUACCAUUAAGUUGAGCACUCUAGUGAGACUGCCCGGGUUAACCGGAGGAAGCGGGAUGACGUCAAAUCAUCAUGCCCCUUACUGUCUAGGGCAACACACGUGCUACAAUGGUGAGUACAGAUAGAUGCGAUACCGCAAGAUGGAGCCAAACUCUAAAACUCAUCCCAGUUCGGAUUGUAGGCUGCAACUCGCCUACAUGAAAGUUGGAGUUGCUGGUAAAUCGCGAAUCAGAAUGUCGCGGUGAA